rnacentral:rRNA from 1 species
AAAUUUGAAAUCUGGCACCUUCGGUGUCCGAGUUGUAAUUUGAAGAAGGUAACUUUGGAGUUGGCUCUUGUCUAUGUUCCUUGGAACAGGACGUCACAGAGGGUGAGAAUCCCGUGCGAUGAGAUGUCCAACUCUAUGUAAAGUGCUUUCGAAGAGUCGAGUUGUUUGGGAAUGCAGCUCUAAGUGGGUGGUAAAUUCCAUCUAAAGCUAAAUAUUGGCGAGAGACCGAUAGCGAACAAGUACAGUGAUGGAAAGAUGAAAAGAACUUUGAAAAGAGAGUGAAAAAGUACGUGAAAUUGUUGAAAGGGAAGGGUUUGAGAUCAGACUUGGUAUUUUGUAUGUCUUGCUUUCGGGUGGGGCCUCUGCAGUUUACUGGGCCAGCAUCGGUUUGGACGGUAGGAUAAUGACAUUGGAAUGUGGCACUACUUCGGUGGUGUGUUAUAGACUUUGUUGAUACUGCCUGUCUAGACCGAGGACUGCGUCUUUGACUAGGAUGCUGGCAUAAUGAUCCUAAACCGC